rnacentral:rRNA from 1 species
UUAGAGUUUGAUCCUGGCUCAGAUUGAACGCUGGCGGCAGGCCUAACACAUGCAAGUCGAGCGGAAACGAUGGAGCUUGCUCCAGGCGUCGAGCGGCGGACGGGUGAGUAAUGCAUAGGAAUCUGCCCGGUAGUGGGGGAUAACCUGGGGAAACCCAGGCUAAUACCGCAUACGUCCUACGGGAGAAAGCAGGGGAUCUUCGGACCUUGCGCUAUCGGAUGAGCCUAUGUCGGAUUAGCUUGUUGGUGAGGUAAUGGCUCACCAAGGCGACGAUCCGUAGCUGGUCUGAGAGGAUGAUCAGCCACAUCGGGACUGAGACACGGCCCGAACUCCUACGGGAGGCAGCAGUGGGGAAUAUUGGACAAUGGGCGAAAGCCUGAUCCAGCCAUGCCGCGUGUGUGAAGAAGGCUUUCGGGUUGUAAAGCACUUUCAGUGAGGAAGAAGGCCUUGGGGCUAAUACCCCCGAGGAAGGACAUCACUCACAGAAGAAGCACCGGCUAACUCCGUGCCAGCAGCCGCGGUAAUACGGAGGGUGCGAGCGUUAAUCGGAAUUACUGGGCGUAAAGCGCGCGUAGGCGGCGUGAUAAGCCGGUUGUGAAAGCCCCGGGCUCAACCUGGGAACGGCAUCCGGAACUGUCAGGCUAGAGUGCAGGAGAGGAAGGUAGAAUUCCCGGUGUAGCGGUGAAAUGCGUAGAGAUCGGGAGGAAUACCAGUGGCGAAGGCGGCCUUCUGGACUGACACUGACGCUGAGGUGCGAAAGCGUGGGUAGC